rnacentral:rRNA from 1 species
AACUCAAAGGACUUGGCGGUGCUUUAGACUCCUCAGGGGAACCUGUUUCAUAAUCGAUAGUCCACGCUAUACCUUUCCUUUAUUUGCAAAAUCAGUAUGUAUACCGUCGUCGUCAGGUAACUUUUAAGAAUCAAGAAGUUAGCUAAAGAAUUAUUUAUAAAUUUUAACGUCAGAUCAAGGUGCAGCCUAUAAAAAGGAGAGAAUGGGUUACAAUUAAGAAUUAUAAGUAUGGAGAAAAAUUUGAAAAUUU